rnacentral:tRNA from 1 species
GGGUUCGGUAGUUCAGUUGGUUAGAAUAUCCCGAUUUCAUCGGGAGAGUCGCCAGUUCGAGUUUCGUCGAAUCUU